rnacentral:miRNA from 1 species
UUUGUAUUACGUGCGGAAAUUGUUACCAUUUUUGAGCCGAAAGUGGUAACAAUUUCCGCACGUAAUAUACA